GUGGGUGAGCUCUAUGAGUUAUGACUGAUGUAAUGCCUUGAUAGGGAGUUCCGCUCCAUGAGAUUCCUCUUUUCCUUUUUCUCCCUCCGUUUUGAACGCAACAAAAGCGGCGAGACCAUGCCGCACUCUCUAUUUUGGACUGCUUUAAAAAUGCCCUCGAAACAGAAUUUUACGAGCUUAAACUCUUAAAAACUUACUUCUUUUGCAAAAAAAAUAUGCUCACAUAUAGGUACUUAUACAACAGUUUUCGGUGUAAAGAUGAAACCGCGUUUUCUGGUGGUUUUUUUAGGCCCCGCGGUUAGCUCUGUGUUUUUGGGGUGUUGAAACAGCAAGUGGGAAAGCACUAGCUGAUACCUACCUAACCAAAACUGGCAUUAUGAGUUAGCAAACGAGGCCAAGGUGCUACAAGCAACUAUUCGAGCUUUCAAGCCGCUCACUUUGCCUAAUUAAAAUAUUGAAGGCGAACUGGUCGGGAAUAGUGCGGAACAUGUGAAAAUUCACCAGAGACGCAGGGUCGCAGGAAAAUGAGCUAAUUGAAAUCUAUGGUCUAAUUGCUGCGCCUGUAAGGCACUUAGGCACGUGACAAGACAGGAGGAACAAAACAAUGUGCAAUUAAUGGAACAAAUUUAGCCUGAGUGACAAUUUUGAUCCAGAUCAAUGAUUCUUUUCCUCUCUCUCAGCUUGUUUGUAUAUGGAAAGGCCAAAGGCUGCUGUCCAAUGUCAACCAACAAUUGACUAAAUGCAGUAUGACGCAGUUCUGCCAAUAUGCGCAGAUACUGAAAACCAAUACCUUCUUCUGAGGGAUAUUGCUAAAUGUCUACUGCGUGUGACAGCCAGAAGUAAACAGCAACCAACUCAUCUAAUGAUACGCUAGUUCUAGGCUGAUUCUAAGUUAAUCAGCCUAAUUAAACUUACGGUCUCAGAAGACAGAUGGAGUCAAAAAAUUAUAGAAACAGAAAUUAAACAUGAAUUGUUAAUUCGUUAUCUUGUUAAAAUAUAACAGAUCGCAAGUAAAUGAGAUCAAACUAAAAAUAAACACAUUUUUCUCAAUGUA